AAAUUGAAGAGUUUGAUCAUGGCUCAGAUUGAACGCUGGCGGCAGGCCUAACACAUGCAAGUCGAACGGUAACAGGAAGCAGCUUGCUGCUUCGCUGACGAGUGGCGGACGGGUGAGUAAUGUCUGGGAAACUGCCUGAUGGAGGGGGAUAACUACUGGAAACGGUGGCUAAUACCGCAUAACGUCGCAAGACCAAAGAGGGGGACCUUCGGGCCUCUUGCCAUCAGAUGUGCCCAGAUGGGAUUAGCUAGUUGGUGAGGUAACGGCUCACCAAGGCGACGAUCCC
rnacentral:rRNA from 3 species